rnacentral:rRNA from 1 species
GACGGAGGAUGCAAGCGUUAUCCGGAAUGAUUGGGCGUAAAGCGUCUGCAGGUGGCAGUUCAAGUCUGCUGUCAAAGACCGGGGCUUAACUUCGGAAAGGCAGUGGAAACUGAACAGCUAGAGUAUGGUAGGGGCAGAGGGAAUUCCUGGUGUAGCGGUGAAAUGCGUAGAUAUCUGGAGGAACACCCGUGGCGAAGGCGGCUCUCUGGUCCGAAACUGACGCUGAGGUGCGAAAGCUAGGGUAGCAAACAGG